CAAGCUAAUGUGAAAGGCUGCACGCGCCUCGUGUCUACCAAAACGGUGAAAACAAAGUUAGUUAUUAAAAAAAAAAUGAAAAUUUACCAUAUACCAUAGCACUUGGUUAAUGAGGGAACAAGCUCUUACAGUGUGUUCACACACGCCUUAAAAAAGGGUUGUGAACCAUCAGUCUAUGAGACCAUCCUUUCAAGCGUGGAUGCUACACACUUGGCUUACCUGGCAGCCAGACUGUGGAGCAGCUCCUUGCCAGGACACAGCUCCUCCACCAGAACCACAUGUGAAGGGGCGAUGAGAGCAUCGUGCAGCUGAACCAGGGUGAGUCGCCAUGACGACAGGAGAUGAAGCUUCACUGAAAGGUCCUGAUCCUGAUUUGGUGAUGCAACCCACCCUGAACACAUAAGAAGCCCCUCUUGGAUUUGAAGUGAUGGUGGACAACAAUGGCAUGUGCUUCAUUUCAUCUGAAACAAACCUGCGAAUGAGGAGCACCUUUGUGUGAAGGAUUACUGCUCCUGUCCUACCUUUAGCAGCUUUCCGACUCCACUGUUGAUUCAUCUGCGUGAAAGACCAACUAUCUGUGAAGCUGAAAGGAAGAUGUAUUUUUACAUGGAUUAUUACGCAGAGGAGGAGGAUGUAAGUCGUGAGAUUGAGGAACCCACGACAGUCGUGUGGCACAUAAGGAAACUGCGCCGUUUCCAGUGUUCCUGAUGUGAAAUACAACUAAAAACUAACUGAAGCUCCAGGUUUGGACACUUCACAGUGCAGUGAGACUGUACCUCCCUCCUCCACUUCCAGGUUUACCAACUUCUCUUUGAAGAAGAGAGGAAGCUCUGAGGAAAUACAAAAGGACUAAAGUAUAGUUUUGUCUUUUCUUGUUUAAAAGAUGUGUUUUUAUUUUUAUGCAAAAAUGUGAUUUCAAAAUAGUUGUGUGAGCCAUAUUUGGUCAGCUUGUCUCACCUUCCACUGUCACUGCUGCUGUGGUAACUGCAGCUCCAGCCUGACAUGAGUAGCUGCCACCAUCUUCAGGUGUAGCAUCUUUGAUUUGGAGCUGGAGGAAGCAGCCGUUGUUCUUCAUGGUGUACUUCCUGUUCUCUCUUAGCGGCAGCCUGUUCCUCUUCCAUUGGACUGGAAGGCCUUCUUUAGACACCUCACAGCACAGAGAGACUGUAGCUCCCUCCUGAACAACCACAUCCUUCAGGUCUUGUUUGAAAAAUGGAGUGAGCUCUGAAAAAACAAUAAAUGAGCAUGUUUAUUAAAGUAAAAAUAACAUAAAAUCAU